GGGCGGUUAGCUCAGUGGUUAGAGCGCUUGCUUCACACGCAAGAGGCCACUGGUUCAAGUCCAGUACUGCCCACCA
rnacentral:tRNA from 1 species